rnacentral:rRNA from 1 species
AUGCCUAAUGGCAGCUUAGACCGCUGGAUCCACCCAGACAUUGAAAGUCAAAACAGAAAUGGAACACUCAGCUUGUCACAGAGGUUAGAUAUCGCUGUUGACCUUGUGGAUGCUUUAGACUAUCUACACAAUGGUUGCCAACCUUCCAUCAUCCAUUGCGAUCUCAAGCCAAGCAACAUUCUUCUCACUGGUGACAUGAGGGCUCGUAUUGGGGAUUUUGGUAUCGCUAGAAUUCUUAAUGAAGGUGGAAGCGAAGCUUCUGCAAAUUCCCUUAGCUCCAUCAGAAUAAGAGGAUCCAUUGGAUAUGUUGCUCCAGAAUAUGGAGAAGGGCUUUCGGUAUCAACUUAUGGUGAUGUGUACAGCCUCGGGAUCACCUUGAUCGAGAUGUUUACCGGAAGGUGCCCGACAGAUGAUAUGUUCAGAGAUGGGUUAACCCUGCAAUACUUCGCAAAGUCAGGUGGUCUUCCUGGGAAUGUCAUGGAGAUAGCAGACUCCAACAUCUGGCUGCAUGAUGAAGCAAAUGAUUGCAAUGAUACAGAACAUGUAACUAUAGCUGAGGAAUGUUUGGCUGCCGUUAUCAAGCUUGGUGUCUUAUGCUCAAAGCAAUUGCCUAGAGAGCGGCUGUCAACAAGUGAUGCUGCUGCAGAGAUGCAUGGCAUCAGAGAUGCCUACCUCGGUAAUAGUGAAGUGAUGUCGAACUAUAUGAAAAAACCACUACCAUAUGCUGAUUAG